CUACGGGAGGCUGCAGUCGAGAAUCUUCCGCAAUGGACGAAAGUCUGACGGAGCGACGCCGCGUGCGGGAUGAAGGCCUUCGGGUUGUAAACCGCUGUCAGUGGGGAGGAAAUGCAUCAGGGUUCUCCCUGGUGUUUGACCGAUCCGCAGAGGAAGCGCAGGCUAAGUUCGUGCCAGCAGCCGCGGUAACACGAACUGCGCGAACGUUAUUCGGAAUCACUGGGCUUAAAGAGUUCGUAGGCGGCCUUUCAAGUCGGGUGGGAAAUCCCUCGGCUCAACCGAGGAAUUGCGCCUGAUACGUGUUGGGCUUGAGGGGGAUAGGGGUGAGCGGAACUGAUGGUGGAGCGGUGAAAUGCGUUGAUAUCAUCAGGAACACCGGUGGCGAAGGCGGCUCACUGGAUCUCUUCUGACGCUGAGGAACGAAAGCUAGGGGAGCGAACGGGAUUAGAUACCCUUGUAGUC
rnacentral:rRNA from 1 species